rnacentral:rRNA from 1 species
GACGAACGCGGCGUCGGGCCUAACACAUGCAAGUCGAACGGGCUCUGUCUGGCUGUGUGCUGGGUGGGGUUAGUGGCGAACGGGUGAGUAAUACGUGAGUAACCUGCCCUCUUCUUUGGGAUAAGCCUUGAAAACGGGGUCUAAAUACUGGAUAUUCCUGUCUGGUCGCAUGGCUGGGUGGGGAAAGUUUUUUUCGGUGGGGGAUGGGCUCGCGGCCUAUCAGCUUGUUGGUGGGGUGAUGGCCUACCAAGGCGUCGACGGGUAGCCGGCCUGAGAGGGUGACCGGCCACACUGGGACUGAGAUACAGCCCAGACUCCUACGGGAGGCAGCAGUGGGGGAUAUUGCACAAUGGGCGCAAGCCUGAUGCAGCGACGCCGCGUGGGGGAUGACGGCUUUCGGGUUGUAAACCUCUUUCGUCGGGGGACAAGGCUCUGCUUGGUGGUGGGGUUGAGGGUACCCGGUGAAGAAGCGCCGGCUAACUACGUGCCAGCAGCCGCGGUAAUACGUAGGGCGCGAGCGUUGUCCGGAAUUAUUGGGCGUAAAGGGCUUGUAGGCGGUUGGUCGCGUCUGCCGUGAAAUCCUCUGGCUUAACUGGGGGCGUGCGGUGGGUACGGGCUGACUUGAGUGCGGUAGGGGAGACUGGAACUCCUGGUGUAGCGGUGGAAUGCGCAGAUAUCAGGAGGAACACCGGUGGCGAAGGCGGGUCUCUGGGCCGUUACUGACGCUGAGGAGCGAAAGCGUGGGGAGCGAACAGG